UCGGGAAUUUUGGGCAAUGGGCGAAAGCCUGACCCAGCAACGCCGCGUGAGGGAUGAAGUAUUUCGGUAUGUAAACCUCGAAAGAAUGGGAAGAAUAAAUGACGGUACCAUUUAUAAGCUCCGGCUAACUACGUGCCAGCAGCCGCGGUAAUACGUAGGGAGCAAGCGUUGUUCGGAUUUACUGGGCGUAAAGGGCGCGUAGGCGGCGCGGUAAGUCACUUGUGAAAUCUCUGAGCUUAACUCAGAACGGCCAAGUGAUACUGCUGUGCUAGAGUGCGGAAGAGGCAACCGGAAUUCUUGGCGUAGCGGUGAAAUGCGUAGAUAUCAAGAGGACCACCUGAGGCGAAGGCGGGUUGCUGGGCCGACACUGACGCUGAUGCGCGAAAGCCAGGGGA
rnacentral:rRNA from 1 species